GAAAAAGAUAAGAGAAUGAUGUAUUAAAGGGAGAAGAACAGAAGAAGCAUAUUAUUAAAGAGAAGAGAAACAGAGGUAGAACUCUCCAGAGGUGUUGAUGGAGGCAAUCAAUGAUGUUGAUGUUGAGAUUGGGUCAAUCGGUGGUAAUGGUUAGAAGAGGGAAUAACUAUUGCUCGGUGGUGACGAGGAACCCUAUUUUCUGGGAUUAGAAGAGACAAUAUGUUUUUCAUAGCGCUGCUAGUCUUUAUGUAUUUUUAUUUUAUUCUUUUUUUAAAAAAAAGGAAAUAUAUAAGAAAGAUGUAUCGGUGUCGGAGUAUAAGUUAGUCGUAUUGGAGUAUAA
rnacentral:lncRNA from 1 species